rnacentral:ncRNA from 1 species
CAAGAGUACUAUGGCAACAUAUAAACUGAAAUCAUUAGACCGUUUCUAAAACCAGUAGUGAAGUAUGUUAUUUAAUUCGAUGAUCCGCGAAAAACCUUACCACAGCUUGUAUAGCAUAUUAUAAAAAAUUGUUACAAGCGCUGCAUGGCUGUCUUUAGUUAAUGUCGUGAGAUUUGGUUAAUUCCUUUAAUUAACGAAAACCCUCACUUUAUUUAUUUAUAUAAAGUGGUUCGCUACUACAUCGGACCAGAUAAUAGGGAUUAAGACAAGUCAUUAUGGCCUUAAUGCUGUGGGCUAUAGACGUGCCACAUACGCCUUUACAACGGGAUGCGAUAUUGUGAAAUGGAGCUAAUCCCCAAAAAAGGAAAUAAUAUGGAUUGUAGUCUGUAACUCGACUACAUGAAAAAGGAAUUACUAGUAAUCGUGAAUCACCAACGUCACGGUGAAUUUUAUCUUAGUUAGGUACU